rnacentral:rRNA from 1 species
UACGAAGGGGGCUAGCGUUGCUCGGAAUCACUGGGCGUAAAGGGUGCGUAGGCGGGUCUUUAAGUCAGGGGUGAAAUCCUGGAGCUCAACUCCAGAACUGCCUUUGAUACUGAGGAUCUUGAGUUCGGGAGAGGUGAGUGGAACUGCGAGUGUAGAGGUGAAAUUCGUAGAUAUUCGCAAAGAACACCAGUGGCGAAGGCGGCUCACUGGCCCGAUACUGACGCUGAGGCACGAAAGCGUGGG